rnacentral:lncRNA from 1 species
GUUUAACAGAACUUUAUCCGCAAACCGUCAUAACUUAUGGACACGAGAGUGAUCUGCCCAAUGUGCCCUGUAUUGAUCAAUACUACAUGCAAGAACAAUAUUAUCGUUCACUCUAUCCACCUUAGGUGCACAAAAGUUUUCCCAUAUUCGGGAUGUUCAUACUUAGUCGGGAAUCCGAACCAAAACAAUCUGGUUGGAUACAAUAACGUUCUAUCUUGUUCAACAAUAUUUUUAUGUCUAGCUGAAUCAAAUAGCUUAGACGGCUUUUAAGUCAAC